rnacentral:pre_miRNA from 1 species
UGCCGAGGUUUUCCUCGGUCGUUAACUGCAGCCGGUUUUGAAGAAACUCGACAGUUAACUGCUGAGGGGUAU